AUUUAAGUAGUUUAAUUAAAAAUUCUGAUUUGUGGUGUCAGAGAUAUAGAUUUAUUUAUCUUAGAUC
rnacentral:tRNA from 1 species